GACGAACGCUGGCGGCGUGCUUAACACAUGCAAGUCGAACGGAAAGGCCCUGCUUUUGUGGGGUGCUCGAGUGGCGAACGGGUGAGUAACACGUGAGUAACCUGCCCUUGACUUUGGGAUAACUUCAGGAAACUGGGGCUAAUACCGGAUAGGAGCUCCUGCUGCAUGGUGGGGGUUGGAAAGUUUCGGCGGUCGGGAUGGACUCGCGGCUUAUCAGCUUGUUGGUGGGGUAGUGGCUUACCAAGGCUUUGACGGGUAGCCGGCCUGAGAGGGUGACCGGCCACAUUGGGACUGAGAUACGGCCCAGACUCCUACGGGAGGCAGCAGUGGGGAAUAUUGCACAAUGGGCGGAAGCCUGAUGCAGCAACGCCGCGUGCGGGAUGACGGCCUUCGGGUUGUAAACCGCUUUCGCCUGUGACGAAGCGUGAGUGACGGUAAUGGGUAAAGAAGCACCGGCUAACUACGUG
rnacentral:rRNA from 1 species